rnacentral:rRNA from 1 species
CAUACCUAUUCGAAGGGAUAGGGUCGGCUCGGCCGGAUUUUACACAAGUGUUGCAUGGCUGUCGUCAGCUCGUGUCGUGAGAUGUUGGGUUAAGUCCCGCAACGAGCGCAACCCUCAUCCUUAGUUGCCAUCAGGUAAUGCUGAGUACUUUAAGGAAACUGCCAGUGAUAAGCUGGAGGAAGGUGGGGUUGAUGUCAAGUCAUCAUGGCCUUUAUGGAGUGGGCUACACACGUGCUACAAUGGUGUCUACAAUGGGUUGCAAGGUGCGCAAGCCUAAGCUAAUCCCUAAAAGACAUCUCAGUUCGGAUUGUACUCUGCAACUCGAGUACAUGAAGUUGGAAUCGCUAGUAAUAGUGGAUCAGCAUGCCACGGUGAAUACGUUCUCGGGUCUUGUACACACUGCCCGUCACGCCAUGGGAAUUGGUUUCACUCGAAGCU